UAACAUAUUAUUUUGUAAAAAAAAAACAUUAAUCAUGUAGUGACAUUAACUCUCUAUAUCUUCUAAAAUAAAGAUAGACAAGAACACUUGCAUAAUUUAAUAUGCUUAUUUGGCAAAGAACAUAAAUGUGAUAUAUAUAUAUAUAUAUAAAUCUAAAUCUACGCUAGCUUGAGAUAAAUCAUACAUCAGAGUUAUAAGAAUGUGACUAGAACUAUAACAUAAAGUAAUUACUUAAGGGUUAUACACACAUGUACAACCAUACGAAGAACACUUCCCAAUUCCAUUGGUGCUACAUAGAUAAUUUGGACAAUCAGAGUCUGAAGUGCAGGGACCAAAAUAUUCUGUAACAUGAAGAAUAAAUCUAAUGUUAGUUAAUAAUGUGAAAGAUUGAGUAUUAUAGUAUUAUGUUUGACUAAGAAAAGUUGAGUUAUGUAAAUAAGGAAAUUUGAAAAUAUUUAAAAACAAAUGACAUACCGAUGUAGGUUAUAAGAAAUAAGAAAUGGAAGAGGAUAGUAGAAGAAAUGAACAAGAGAGUUUUAGACAUUUUUGUUUGUUUUGUAUGUAAGAAACAAAAUAUUAUUGA
rnacentral:lncRNA from 1 species